AACGCAUAUGGCACCCGAGACCUCGGUCGAGGGUAUGUCUGCCUCAGAGUCGGCGUAGAAUAUCCCCUCGGGUUACGUUCACCGUGAGCUCCGGGGGGGAGCUGGUCGUCCCAUCCACGUCCUGGCGUUUUGUGGCCAUGGUGUUCCGAUGGGUCGACCGAAGGAUAGAAACGAGGGACCGGCGGUUACAAGGCCCGCCGGAUGCCAAGAUUAGUUGGGAGGAGGGGAUGAGCGCUCGUCGCCGGCCCCGUUGUCCACACAACGUCUUGCGUCCGACACGGCUGAACCGGGGUCUCCCUCGCCUUAGCAGGUAUGAUUAUUAUUCGACCUGAGUUCAGGCAAGAUCACCCGCUGAACUUAA
rnacentral:misc_RNA from 1 species